GGAUGUAAGGGCGACAUCUGUCACCCAGCUGAUCUGGCCAGCUAGGCGGGUGUCCCCUUCCUCCCUCACCACCGCUCCACGUGUAUCCCUCCGGAAGCUGCGCUCGCUAGUGGAAGAGGACAGCCUUCCCCAAAUAGAGACAGACUUCUUGGGUCUGUGCUCCCCUGCUAGGCCCUACAAACAAGCUCUCCAGAUAUCCUGAAAGAUUAGCGUGAGCAUUAACUGCUCAAAACAUAUUCCAAAAGCUGUUUACCAUUUG
rnacentral:snRNA from 1 species